GUUACCCAGACUGGAGUGUAGUGGUGUGAUCACAGUUCAUUGCAGCCUUAAACUCCCUGGCUCAAGUGAUUCUCCCACCUCAGCCUCCUAAAUACCAGGGACUAUAGCUGCAAAUGAAGAUGCCAACUCUUGCCAGAAAGAAAAAGAGGUGAUGUUGAAGAAAAGUAUAAGGGAAGAGCCAGGCGCAGUGGCUCAUGCCUGUAAUCCCAGCACUUCAGGAGGCUGAGGCAGGCGGAUCACCUGAAGUAAGGAAUUCGAGACCAACCUGGCCAACAUGGUGAAACCCCAUCUCUACUGAAAAUACAAAAAUCGGCUGGGCGUGGUGGCGCACGCCUGUAAUUCCAGCUAUUCUGAGGCUGAGACAGAAGAAUUGCUUGAACCCGGGAGGUGGAGGUUGGAGUGAGCUGAGGUUGCACCACUGCACUCUAGCCUGUGUGACAGAGUGAGACGCUGUCUCAAAAAAAAAAAAAAAAGUAUAGAGGAAACAAAAUUGGCCAAUUAUCACUGUUCACAGUCGUUGAGGCUGAGGGUUUAUACUCUCCUCCCCACUUUGUAUGUCUGAGAUUUUCCAUUAAAAAUAGAGAAAAGGAAAAAAAAAAAAAAAGAAAUGAAGGCCAGUCGAUCUAGGGAGACGGUCAGCUGAUGGUGCCAGUCAACUGAAGUGAGAGGGCGAGGCCAAGGUCAGACAGACUCUACAGGGGAAGCAGACACAGCACAAUGUGACUACAUGGUAAGUGUGCCUGUUUUUCGGUUCGCCAUGCCUCACACUCCUCACAUUUCUCACUGGGAGACAGUAGCUGGAGUCUGCCACCAGGUAAGCUGGUGGUAAGACAGCCUAAGAAAGAUGGAAGAACUGUCCUCAACAUACCAGGUGUAAACAUACUGUAGGGGUUGAUUUUGGUAAUGUCAAAUGUAAUAUUUAUUCAUGCUUGAAAACCCCGAUAAGCUAAAAUGAAGAAAAUCUAAAAAGCAAGUGUGCUGUAUCACCUAGAGAAAAGCACUCAAUGUUUUGGCAUAUCCGCUGCCUUUGUACAUGCAGGGGCACACUCGUACAUAUAUGCACAUGCUUUCUCUCCUCAGAAAUACAGAAUCACAGGGAAAUACUGCUGUGUAACAUGCUUUUUUUAGUUUAAAAACUAUACAACACUAUUUUGUAACACCAGUGUAAAGGCUGCACAAUAGCUUGCUAAGGAACACUUUGAACUAGUAUUACUAACCCUGG
rnacentral:lncRNA from 10 species